AAUGGGAUCUUUGCAUAAAACAUCAUUAAUUUUGAGUGCAGUUAUAGAUUAUUUUGUAGUUUCUCUUUUCAAGUGCAUAAAAAGUAACUAGUGUUUCUUUCCCCCUCUUCAAUCCACUUUGCUCUUGACCUUACAAAGGCACCCAUUGCCAGAUCCGUGUAAAGCUGUUCUAAUUCUAGUUGUAAAGAUUUGAAUACAGACUCCUCUUCUUCAGACAAAUGAUCUUUCUUCAGAAAACUGUCAAGCUUGCUCAUCAUCUCCUUUUCUCUAAGGUUCUUUAAUUGCAUCAGCUCUUUGGCGCGUUUAAAGGCUACCACUCUGACUUUAUAUUUGAAAAAUUCCCAUCUACUUCCAUGACCCAAGUCUUUUCUUGCAAAAAGGAGGAAUGAUUUGUGAAUGGGCCACCAUUGGCCGGAAAUUCGUCACUCGUUCAUCCUGCGAUGAUUGUGUUUUUAGCCACCGGCCCCGGAGUGAACAUACUUGUACACCUGCAAAGCCGACUAAAACGAGGGCUGAGGGGCUUACGUUGCAAACUGCCCUUGCUUGGCUAAUCAUUUGGACCGCCCGCCAAGAUGGCGACAGGGAUUUCCCCAAGGGCAUAAGGCAAGGCCUGAGGACUUCCCUGAGAUGGAGAUCUUGUGGCAGCUGACCUGCGCCUGGAACACAGGCAUCCUGCUUUACAGCCUGGCCGAGUACCCUGAGGGGUGGUGUGGCCUGGGCAUGAGCUUCCUCCGCUGCCUGGGCUCCCUGCAGGAGAGCUACCAGACACAGAUGUCAGAUCUGUACACAGGUCCUGGAUAGUCUGGACAAAGCCAAGAAGAACCUCCUCUUGGAGUCGUGAUUUGAGCUGGUAGAGCUUUGCAGAGCUCUUUUACUGUCUGGCACCUGAUGUUAUUCAUGUGGUAGCUGGGAUGGUAGUUUACUAUAUGAUGUAUGACUGGUCUCCAGUUUAGUCAGCUCCUCCAGGAUGUCAGUUGCAUCCUGUCCUCACCCAAUAUUUCCCUCACUUUCCCUAUGGAGAGUUCAGAUAACCAUUUCUGCUGGGGCGACAGGGUAGCCUAGUGGUUAGAGCGUUGGACUAGUAACCGAAAGGUUGCAAGUUCAAAUCCCCGAGCUGACAAGGUACAAAUCUGUCGUUCUGCCCCUGAACAGGCAGUUAACCCACUG